UUCACUAGAAACUCCACGCCUAAAAAAUUCAAGACGCAACCAGAAAUACAAUUUCAAAACCAUUUGAUAUUUCAUAAAAAUUGGUCGAAGGAUGGUCGAAGGUUUUUACCGACCGGCCACCCCCGGUCUUCCCCAGCCCCGACCACACCACUCCUAAGAGGUAGGACAUUGCACCGACCACCAGAGGAGGACCGUAAGAUUAAAGCCUAUGAUGGGGGGCAAUCUCUUAGGCGAAUCAAUAGCUCAAUCGAACUGCAGUGGCACAGCAUUUCUGUGGCCACUCAAAAGUCAGGACCCAGAUGAAGAGGACAAAGUUCUGGUACCCGAGCAGAAGAUGUAGGAGUUUUAGGGUGAGUGAAAGGAAGGAAGAUAGUUUGAAAAAGCGCCUGAUACCACGCCUUCGGCUGGGAUCAUUAAAUGGCUCUUCC